GUGGGGAAUAUUGCGCAAUGGGGGAAACCCUGACGCAGCAACGCCGCGUGAGUGAUGAAGGCCUUCGGGUCGUAAAGCUCUGUCAGGUGGAAAGAAAGGGCCAUUCCUUAAUACGGAAAUGGCUUUGACGGUACCACCAAAGGAAGCACCGGCUAACUCCGUGCCAGCAGCCGCGGUAAUACGGAGGGUGCAAGCGUUGUUCGGAAUUACUGGGCGUAAAGCGCGUGUAGGCGGCCCGUUAAGUCAGGUGUAAAAGACCUUAGCUUAACUAAGGAAUGUCAUCUGAAACUGGUGGGCUUGAGUACGGGAGAGGAGAGUGGAAUUCCCGGUGUAGAGGUGAAAUUCGUAGAUAUCGGGAGGAACACCCGUGGCGAAGGCGACUCUCUGGACCGAUACUGACGCUGAGACGCGAAAGCGUGGGGAGCAAACAGGAUUAGAUACCCUGGUAGUCC
rnacentral:rRNA from 1 species